CCCCUAGAUGCUCUGGGCCGCACGCGCGCUACACUGGUCGAUGCAACGAGUUUCUUUCCUUGGCCGACAGGCCUGGGCAAUCUUUGAACAUCGAUCGUGAUCGGGAUAGAUUCUUGUAAUUUUUGAUCUUAAACGAGGAAUUCCUAGUAAACGCAAGUCAUCAGCUUGCAUUGAUUACGUCCCUGCCCUUUGUACACACCGCCCGUCGCACCUACCGAUUGAAUGGUCCGGUGAAAUCUCGGGACGGCGGCUUGGUCGCUUGCGUCCGACUGCUGAAACUUGAUUAAACCAUAUCAUUUAGAGGAAGGUGAAGUCGUAACA
rnacentral:rRNA from 1 species